rnacentral:rRNA from 1 species
GAUCAACGCUGGCGGCGUGCUUAACACAUGCAAGUCGAACGGGAUCCAAGGGGUGCUUGCACUUUUUGGUGAGAGUGGCGAACGGGUGAGUAACACGUGAGUAACCUGUCCUUUUCUUUGGGAUAAGCAUUCGAAAGGGUGUUUAAUACCUUAUGUUCUGUCUGCCUCGCAUGGGGUGGGUGGGAAAGGCUUUGGCCGGAUUUGGGUUGGCUCGCGGUCUAUCAGCUUGUUGGUGGGGUGAUGGCUUACCAAGGCUUUGACGGGUAGCCGGCCUGAGAGGGGGGUCGGUCAGAUUGGGACUGAGGUACGGCCCAGAACCCCGCGGGAGGGAACCGUGGGGGAUAUUGCAAAAUUGGGGAAAGCCCGAUGCAGCGACGCCGCGUGGGGGAUGAAGGCCUUCGGGUUGUAAACUUCUUUUGCUCUGAACAAGGCAUGCCAGUGGGUGUGUUGAGUGUAGGGGUUGAUUAGCGCCGGCUAACUACGUG